GAAAUGCGAUACUUGGUGUGAAUUGCAGAAUCCCGUGAACCAUCGAGUCUUUGAACGCAAGUUGCGCCCGAAGCCACUAGGCCGAGGGCACGUCUGCCUGGGCGUCACACGCCGUUGCCCCCAUGUGCACUGCCAAAAGCGUGUUCAGGAGGGGCGGAGACUGGCUUCCCAUGAGCAUUGCCUUGUGGUUGGCCUAAAUUCGAGUCGUCGGCCGCAAUCGCCUCGACAUUCGGUGGUUUUCGAUUAUAUCGGUGCCCCGUCGUGCGCGAAUCCGUGACCGACUAGACCCGUACGACCCCAAUGUGCUGCGAACGCAGUGCCUUCAACGCGACCCCAGGUCAGGCGGGAUCACCCGCUGAAUUUAA
rnacentral:misc_RNA from 1 species